GACGAACGCUGGCGGCGUGCCUAAUACAUGCAAGUUGAGCGAUUAAGAUUGGUGCUUGCACCAAUUUGAAGAGCAGCGAACGGGUGAGUAACGCGUGGGGAAUCUGCCUUUGAGCGGGGGACAACAUUUGGAAACGAAUGCUAAUACCGCAUAAUAACUUUAAACAUAAGUUUUAAGUUUGAAAGAUGCAAUUGCAUCACUCAAAGAUGAUCCCGCGUUGUAUUAGCUAGUUGGUGAGGUAAAGGCUCACCAAGGCGAUGAUACAUAGCCGACCUGAGAGGGUGAUCGGCCACAUUGGGACUGAGACACGGCCCAAACUCCUACGGGAGGCAGCAGUAGGGAAUCUUCGGCAAUGGACGAAAGUCUGACCGAGCAACGCCGCGUGAGUGAAGAAGGUUUUCGGAUCGUAAAACUCUGUUGGUAGAGAAGAACGUUGGUGAGAGUGGAAAGCUCAUCAAGUGACGGUAACUACCCAGAAAGGGACGGCUAACUACGUG
rnacentral:rRNA from 1 species